GAAACCUAACGAUAGAUCGAGAUAAUAUCGAGAGAGGUCACUGCAAUCCGUUGAACCGAGGAGAAGGACUACCCCCACCAUCGGACAUUAUCAAGCAUAGAGGGGAGCCGGGUGCACGGGAUUAGGACGAGUCGACGAGCGAGUCAGUACGACUCGUGACGUCCUCGACGUCGGUCGAUCUUACUUUUUUCGUAUCUUCUGUAUUACGUACUAUACACACAUACACACAUAUAUAUCUAUACGUUACAUGCAUACCUAUAUAUAUAACACACGUAUUAUAUAUAUUACAUAUCGUGCACUCAUUAACAUUCAACCACAUAUAUGCAUUCACACAAACUCGAAACGUGUUUCUAUCUUUCUCUUUCUUACGCGUACAGUGCUUCGUAAUUUUCUCGUGUAAAAUCUCUCUCUCUCUCUCUCUCUCUCUCUCUCUCUCUCUCUUUCUAUCUUUCAAUCUUUCUCUUUUUAUCUCUCUCUUUCUCUCCUUCCAUCUCAACGAGUAUCCUUUCUAACACGACACAAUACAAUAUUUGGGUUAUGUGUGUAUCGCGUGGCGCGCGUUUCCCACGCGUCCGACGCGUUUGUUAAGUUUCGUACGAUUUUCGUCUACGAAUGAGGAUUACGUAAAGAAGAAAAGACACAUAAAGAAAAAUUUGUUCGAAAGGAAGUUUUGGCGGGCGAACGUCCGUGCAUCGUAUCGUGCGUGGGUGCGUGCAUACGUGCGUGCGUGCGUGCGAGUGAAACGAGCAAGCAAGCAAGCAAGCUUCCUCGUUCGGGUUUCUUCGUCUUCGUCUUCGUCUUCGUCUUCGUCGUGUCGUCGUGUCGUUGUCGCGUCGCAUCUUGUCUCGUUCGUUCGUUCGUUCGUUCGUUCGUUCGUUCGUCGUGAUUCGUACGACCAGUACGAAAAGUAAACGCCAAGGAAAUAUAAAUAGAAGGUAAAGAACGAAGUUACAAAGUUGGAAAGAAAAUUGUUGGUGACCGAUUAAAAAAAAAAAUAAAAAAUUAAACAAGUGUCGUCGUUAGAAACGUUUCAACAGUGAAAGUGAUUUUUCUACCAACGACUCGAGCCCAUAACCAACAACUUCCCUUCUUACGCUCGAUCCGAUCAUCUACGACGAAACCAACCAACCAACCAACCAACCAACCCUCAUCAACCCCUCCAUUUCCAACCCCCUCACCUUAAGCUUCCCUUCACCUCGACCAAAAUAAAAAAAUCGAAAAGUUUUUUCUUCCGAAAGUAAGAGAUGUCGUCGACGCCGUUGAAAGCCGAACCCACCGGCGGUUAUGUCAUCGAAAAUUGGAGGCAAGUUCGUCAAGAUCGGCGAACCUGUUAAGAGAACGAAUAAAAAGAAAAAGAAGAAGAAAAA